rnacentral:rRNA from 1 species
GAUGAACGCUGGCGGCGUGCCUAAUACAUGCAAGUCGAGCGAACGGACGGGAAGCUUGCUUCUCUGAUGUUAGCGGCGGACGGGUGAGUAACACGUGGAUAACCUACCUAUAAGACUGGGAUAACUUCGGGAAACCGGAGCUAAUACCGGAUAAUAUUUUGAACCGCAUGGUUCAAAAGUGAAAGACGGUCUUGCUGUCACUUAUAGAUGGAUCCGCGCUGCAUUAGCUAGUUGGUAAGGUAACGGCUUACCAAGGCAACGAUGCAUAGCCGACCUGAGAGGGUGAUCGGCCACACGGGAACUUAGACACGGUCCAGACUCCUACGGGAGGCAGCAGUAGGGAAUCUUCCGCAAUGGGCGAAAGCCUGACGGAGCAACGCCGCGUGAGUGAUGAAGGUCUUCGGAUCGUAAAACUCUGUUAUUAGGGAAGAACAUAUGUGUAAGUAACUGUGCACAUCUUGACGGUACCUAAUCAGAAAGCCACGGCUAACUACGUG